UCUGAAUCUGUGACCAGCCAACGAUACAUGUUAGUUUAGCACACUGUUUGGAGAUUUGGACAGAAAUGCAGUUGCUUACUCUGAUCACUUGCUUCGCCUAUAUAUCCAACGCUGUUCACUCAAGAAGAUAUCAAGAAUGUCCCGAGGACUGGACAAAGGGCGAAUGAGAAGUGCUACAAGUUUCUUAAUGAACAUGUUGACUGGGAUGAUGCGUCUGGAAGAUGCAAACGACGCUUUUCUGCUGCACUUGCCGUGAUUGACAACAAAGAAGAGAACAAAGUCGUUGAAGAUCUUGCCCACGAUCACACGCACGCAUGGAUUGGUUUACGUCGCAGAUACGGACCGUUUGAGUGGAAUGAGAAUUCUAGGUUGCAGGUCAAAUAUGUUAACUGGCGGGGUGCUUCUCAACGAUACUUG